rnacentral:sRNA from 1 species
UUGGGCUUAGGAGCCCUCUGUAUCCACAUUCUGCUGCCAAAGCCUCAAUUCUGCUUCUGCUCUCCUGGGGCUCCAGGACCCCUGCCAUGUCGUCAUCUUCUUCAUCGAGGGUCUUGCUGCGGCAGCAGCUAAUGCGGGCCCAGGCGCAGGAGCAGGAGAGGCGUGAGCGUCGGGAACAGGCCGCCGCGGCUCCCUUCCCCAGUCCUGCACCUGCCUCUCCUGCCAUCUCUGUGGUUGGCGUCUCUGCUGGGGGCCACACAUUGAGCCGUCCACCCCCUGCUCAGGUGCCCAGGGAGGUGCUCAAGGUGCAGACCCAUCUGGAGAACCCAACGCGCUACCACCUGCAGCAGGCGCGCCGGCAGCAGGUGAAACAGUACCUGUCCACCACACUCGGGCCCAAGCUGGCUUCCCAGGCCCUCACCCCACCGCCGGGGCCCGCAAGUGCCCAGCCACUGCCUGCCCCCGAGGCUGCCCACACUACCGGCCCCACAGGCAGUGCGCCCAACAGCCCCAUGGCGCUGCUCACCAUCGGGUCCAGCUCAGAGAAGGAGAUUGAUGAUGUCAUUGAUGAGAUCAUCAGCCUGGAGUCCAGUUACAAUGAUGAAAUGCUCAGCUAUCUGCCCGGAGGCACCACAGGACUGCAGCUCCCCAGCACGCUGCCUGUGUCAGGGAAUCUGCUUGAUGUGUACAGUAGUCAAGGCGUGGCCACACCAGCCAUCACUGUCAGCAACUCCUGCCCAGCUGAGCUGCCCAACAUCAAACGGGAGAUCUCUGAGACCGAGGCAAAGGCCCUUUUGAAGGAACGGCAGAAGAAAGACAAUCACAACCUAAUUGAGCGUCGCAGGCGAUUCAACAUUAACGACAGGAUCAAGGAACUGGGCACUCUCAUCCCUAAGUCCAGUGACCCGGAGAUGCGCUGGAACAAGGGCACCAUCCUGAAGGCCUCUGUGGAUUAUAUCCGCAAGCUGCAGAAGGAGCAGCAGCGCUCCAAAGACCUGGAGAGCCGGCAGCGAUCCCUGGAGCAGGCCAACCGCAGCCUGCAGCUCCGAAUUCAG